UACAGAGGGUGCGAGCGUUGUUCGGAAUUAUUGGGCGUAAAGGGCGCGUAGGCGGUGCGGUAAGUCACCUGUGAAAUCUCCGGGCUUAACUCGGAACGGUCAAGUGAUACUGUCGGACUAGAGUACAGAAGGGGCAACUGGAAUUCUCGGUGUAGCGGUGAAAUGCGUAGAUAUCGAGAGGAACACCUGCGGCGAAGGCGGGUUGCUGGGCUGAUACUGACGCUGAUGCGCGAAAGCCAGGGGAGCGAACGGG
rnacentral:rRNA from 1 species